GAUGAACGCUGGCGGCGUGCCUAAUACAUGCAAGUCGAGCGAACGGACGAGAAGCUUGCUUCUCUGAUGUUAGCGGCGGACGGGUGAGUAACACGUGGAUAACCUACCUAUAAGACUGGGAUAACUUCGGGAAACCGAGCUAAUACCGGAUGAUAUUUUGAACCGCAUGGUUCAAAAGUGAAAGACGGUCUUGCUGUCACUUAUAGAUGGAUCCGCGCUGCAUUAGCUAGUUGGUAAGGUAACGGCUUACCAAGGCAACGAUGCAUAGCCGACCUGAGAGGGUGAUCGGCCACACUGGAACUGAGACACGGUCCAGACUCCUACGGGAGGCAGCAGUAGGGAAUCUUCCGCAAUGGGCGAAAGCCUGACGGAGCAACGCCGCGUGAGUGAUGAAGGUCUUCGGAUCGUAAAACUCUGUUAUUAGGGAAGAACAUAUGUGUAAGUAACUGUGCACAUCUUGACGGUACCUAAUCAGAAAGCCACGGCUAACUACGUG
rnacentral:rRNA from 1 species